CUCACAGUCUGCAUCUCUACUAAACUCCAGGAGACGAUUCCUCUUAGCAAAAGGGCACUGUGUACCCUCCAAGGCUGGAAAUGAUAGGUUUUCGGCGAGGAGUGAAAAUAUUGUGCUGACAGCCCUUUGCCUGUGUAGAGCAGGGUUGUUUACUCGCGCUGGAGCACAGCUUUAUUGAAGCAGAGAGUCAUGGUCCCAUCAUCAGGGUUGCCUAGCAACCAGUCUACGCCACUCCACAGAGUUUCAGAAUGGGCUGGACCACAAGUACCCACUUUGGGGGAUUUCCAGUGACAGUCCUACUCUCACUCCAUCACAUCGCUUCUAAAAUCUGAGUCACAUGGUUCAAAUUUCACAGUACAAAGUGUGUUCUUCAGAUCUGGGGUUCUCUCCAAAAUGGAUAAUCAUUAUUGAUUUUGUAAUGCAAUGCCAAGACCAUCAGUAAGAGAUGCUUCUAAAGAUGUGGAAAAGGAUACAGA
rnacentral:lncRNA from 1 species